rnacentral:tRNA from 1 species
GCCGGUGUAGCUCAGCUGGUAGAGCAGCUGACUUGUAAUCAGCAGGUCGGAGGUUCGAAUCCCCUCGCCGGCU